rnacentral:rRNA from 1 species
ACAAUUCCCCCCCUUUUUUUACAAAACAUGGUUUUUUGUUUAUAUAAAAAAUCUAACCUGCCCUAUGAUUUAUUUAAAUGGCUGCAGUAUUUUGACUGUACAAAGGUAGCAUAAUCAUUUGUCUUUUAAUUGAAGGCUUGCAUGAAUGGUUGGAUGAAAAAUAUACUUUCUUUAUUUUAUAAAAAAAAUUUAAUUUUUUAGUUAAAAAGCUAAGAUUUUUUUAAAGGACGAGAAGACCCUAUAGAACUUUAUUUUCUUUAUAUAUAAAUUUAAUAGAUAAAUAUAAAUUUAUAUAUAUAUGUUAAUUUUGUUGGGGUGAUUGAAAAAAUUUUUUAACUUUUUCUAUUUUUUACAUUUAUAUAUGUUUUUUUGAUCCUUUACUAAGGAAUAUAAGAUUAAGUUACCUUAGGGAUAACAGCGUUAUUUUUUUGGAGAGUUCUUAUCGAUAAAAAAGUUUGCGACCUCGAUGUUGGAUUAAAUUAAGUGAUAGGAGUAGAAUAUUAUUUACUAGGUCUGUUCGACCUUUAAAUUUUUACAUGAU